rnacentral:rRNA from 1 species
CAGCAGUGGGGAAUUUUGCGCAAUGGGGGAAACCCUGACGCAGCAACGCCGCGUGGAGGAAGAAGUAUUUCGGUACGUAAACUCCUUUCGAUCGGGACAAUAAUGACGGUACCGAGAGAAGAAGCCCCGGCUAACUUCGUA